AAGUUACAAUCGCAUUACGCGAUAAUGACAACUACGUAAUUAUCGAAUACAGCAGUCUGAUUUACUAUUGGUUUGCUCAAUAGAAUUAAGUUUCAUUCGUACGCGAAUACAACUUAGAGCAAGGUACCAAUAUGAAAUUUGCCUGCCUAUACAGUCUACUAUGUUU